UCACGAAGUGGUGAUGACGCAACAGAAGAACCCACUCCAACAUGGUAUGUGACGUCACAGAGAAUCAAGCGGCCAUUGUGCGAAAGAAAAUAAAGAAAAGUCAGCGAAUAAAGCUGCCGAAGAAAGGCGCAAGACGAAGACGCCGAUAAAGGAUACACGGUUUGAGGCUUGAGUAUUAUAAGUAUGAGUUGUGUGUUGUAUGUGUGUCUUGUCUGCGCUGCUGUAUUCUUAUUCUGCUGGACCUAAUGUUGCCAGCUAUUUUUAGUCAGUCACUACUAUAGUGCAUUUUGCAUGUCUAUGAAAUAUACGCAAUGAAACUAUGGCGAUUAUCUUGCUGGAUCAGAUUUUGUUGUUGUACACUCUAUUGGGUACUUCGUCUACAAAGGUCGAACCCUUCAGCGAUUCUGUAUUGUCCUGAUCGCUGGGUGAGAACGCUAUGUUGGUACACAAAUACUCGAGUAAUAUCAACACGCAGUAUAAUAUGCGCAUAAAUUAAGUAAACUUACAAUUCCCGUCUAUAAUUUAACAAGAAUAAGUAUAAACUUCUCCACCCUAAUAAAAUAUACAAUUAUAUAUCCUAUUUAAACGUCAUGUAGCGUGAUUGGGACGAUGGCCACGUCACGAUUACGCUACGACGUCGAUACGGUGGGUCAGAGCAUUGUCAUGACCCUGCGUUCGGUGCGGUUACGUCAGUUUUGAUUGAGUUACGUCACGGUCAGGUGUUGCGUGGACGUCGCCGCCAGUGAUGCUACGCUAGAUAUAUAGGUCACUGUCAAUGCGGUUCGUAACAACUUGACGCAGUUUCGUAGCGGUCGAUGCGGUGCGUAACAUCCGGACGAUAUUAUAUUGUGUGAAGAUACGACGAGAGUCUCGCGGUACCAACAUGGCGACUUACCUUUUGAUUGGGACAUGCGGAGCUGUUGUUGGCUUCGACUCCUUGCGGUCGGACAUUCAAUAUGGUGUACACUGCAGAUGAUUAUCCUUCGGGAUUUGAACCAUAUUUUAUUUGUAGAUGUUUCAGUGAUUAUGUCCGCGUUAAUUACCUUUU